UGGGGGAUAUUGCACAAUGGGCGAAAGCCUGAUGCAGCGACGCCGCGUGGGGGAUGAAGGCUUUCGGGUUGUAAACCUCUUUCGCUAUCGAACAAGGCCCGCUUAGGGUGGGUUGAGGGUAGGUGGAGAAGAAGCGCCGGCUAACUACGUGCCAGCAGCCGCGGUAAUACGUAGGGCGCGAGCGUUGUCCGGAAUUAUUGGGCGUAAAGGGCUUGUAGGCGGCUUGUUGCGCCUGCUGUGAAAACGCGGGGCUUAACUUCGCGCGUGCAGUGGGUACGGGCAGGCUUGAGUGUGGUAGGGGUGACUGGAAUUCCAGGUGUAGCGGUGGAAUGCGCAGAUAUCUGGAGGAACACCGAUGGCGAAGGCAGGUCACUGGGCCAUUACUGACGCUGAGGAGCGAAAGCAUGGGUAGCGAACA
rnacentral:rRNA from 1 species